GGAGUUGUGGCUCAGGGGUAGAGGGCUUGUCUCGCAUACAUGAGGCACUGGGUUCGAUCCUCAGCACCA
rnacentral:tRNA from 1 species